ensembl:lncRNA
AUGUCACACUCACACUUCUACAUAGAGCCCUUUCAGACAUCAGGAAUCAUCACACACACUGAUCUCCUGAUCAGAGGACUCACAUCACCUGGCGGAGCAAUGGCGCCUGUGUUUGGCUUUGCCGCUGCUACAGCUCGUUGGAGGCGACAGUAUAGUUUUUCACUGUCGUCACUUGUCGUUUACAAUAUAAUUUUUGCUCUUUUGUAUUCUGACUUUGCUUCUGCUGCUUUAACUUAUGAUCGGGAUACACUUUUAAAGAUCAAAGACUCAAUGGAGAGCUACUGUGACAGCUGGGACAGCUACAGAAAAACUUUUCCUCCUCCUCCUCUGGUAUGUUCCUCACCUGAGUGCGUGCUACUGUGCACAACCCGCGACAUUUCCACCCUCAAGAGACGAAAAAGGGGAACGAGGGCCGGCGUCCAGGUGAAACGGAGAAGGUACCGGAGGCUAGCUGCUUGGCUGUGGGGUGACUCUCGGUGCCUGCGACCAGUUCCUCUCCUGUCGUUUGCUGGGGAUGUUACGCCGCCGCCGCCGCCCGGGACCCGAGCCCCAUGGCUCGAAAGCAGUUUGCUCACUCUGUGUCCGUCAUCCAUUUUCUGUUUUGCUGGUGACAGCUACGUCUGCUCAUCGAUCAAGGUUUUCCCCAACUCUGGAGUCGCCGCCUUGCCCGGCAGGUCCACAGGUGUGCACAGGUGUCUAAUUCAAGCGCCGCUGCAGUCAGCUGUAGAUUUCGCAGAUAAACCGUCAUCAAUUCGGUUCGCCCUGCUUAACGUUCGCUCUAUAACGAACAAAUCAUUUAUUCUAAAUGAUCUUUUUAUUAAAGAGUCUCUAGAUUUUAUGUGUCUGACUGAGACGUGGCAGCAAAAUAAGGAUUAUGUCCACUUGAAUGAAAUCUGCCCGUCUGGCUGUUCUGUCAUUGGAACUCCGCGUCUGUCAGGACGUGGUGGAGGACUUGCUGUUGUUUACCAGGACAGACUCACAUGCAAUCUGAUGACCUCGGACUUCUUUUCUUCAUUUGAGUCACAGAUGAUGAAGGUCGGUUCUCUGAAAACCUUUUACUGUAUUUUAAUCUAUCGACCUCCUGGACCUGCUGGGGUCUUUCUAACUGAAUUUAACGACCUUCUGACAUCGAUCAUUAAAUUGGAGAAGGUUGUAAUAUUGGGAGACUUCAACCUUCAUAUUGAUGACACUUCCUGUAACACUGCUGCUGAGCUCAUCACUAUCACUGAGUCUUUUAACUUUAUUCAGCAUGUUUCUGGCCACACACUGGACCUUGUUUUCUCCCUGGGUUUAAAUAUACAUGAUGUAUGUGUGGAGGAUGUCCAUGUGAGUGACCAUAGCUGCAUAUUCUUUAAUUUGUCAUUUUACGUGGAUCCUUCACCUCCUAAAUUGAUGAUCCAAAGGCGGAUUAUAAACCAGGAUGCUGCUGGAAGGUUCUCUGCCAUGUUUGACCCUCGCAUGGCUCAAAAUGAUAUGGAUUCACUUAUUUUGUCUUUUAACAAUCAAUGUAAAUCUAUUUUAGAUACGGUGGCACCUCUGAAACUAACUGUUGUCCAUUCUUCAAAUUUCUGUCCUUGGAUAAAUGAAAAUAUUCGAAAUUUUAGGAGAUAUUGUCGCAAAUUAGAACGUUUAUGGAAGGCUUCCAAGCUUGAGGUCCAUAGGGUACAUCUCAAGGAAUCAAUUUUCUUACUUAAUGACAUGAUAAAAAAUGCCAGAACCGAAUAUUUUGCUAAUCUAAUAGCUUCAAAAAAGAAAAAUCCCAGAGUAUUGUUUGAUACAAUUAAGAACAUUGUCUCUCCUGAUGUUCCUCAUGUACCAGUCUAUACUAGAUCUGAUUGUAAUGAGUUUUUAAACCAUUUUGUUAAUAAGGUCGCUGCCAUCAGGUCUAAUAUUUCUCCAUCAUCCUCCCAGUAUCACACUGACACCUUGCUUACCUCUGACACCUGGUCCUCUUUUACUCCUGUUACCUUACAGGACAUCAGUGCUCUGCUUGGUCAGAUGAAACUGACUUCAAGCCACCUUGAUGUACUUCCUCCAUCAUUUUUCAUUAGUGUGUUUGACUCUAUUGGCCCCUGUAUUCUGGAAAUAAUUAAUACUUCUCUUUAUACUGGCUCAGUUCCCAGCUAUUUUAAACAAGCUAUUGUUGAACCAAUAUUAAAGAAAUCAAAUUUGGACCCAUCUCUUCCAAGCAGUUACAGGCCAAUAUCAAAAUUACCAUUGGUGUCAAAGAUCUUGGAAAAAACAGUUGCAGAACAACUUAACAACUUUUUGGAGAAGAACAAUGUUCUGGACAUUUUCCAGCAGUGGCGGCUGGCCCAUAGGGGGCGCUCGGGCUCCGCCCCCCCAAAUGUGGAGGAGUAA